CUGGGGGUGAGACACGGCCCAGACUCUUCCGGGAGGCAGCAGUGGGGAAUUUUCCCCAAGGGGCGAAACCCGGACGGAGCAAUACCGCGUGAGGGAGGAAGGCUUUUGGGUUGUAAACCUCUUUUAUUAAGGAAGAAGCAAGUGACGGUACUUAAUGAAUCAGCAUCGGCUAACUCCGUGCCAGCAGCCGCGGUAAUACGGAGGAUGCAAGCGUUAUCCGGAAUCAUUGGGCGUAAAGCGUCCGCAGGUGGUCAAUCGUGUCUGCCGUUAAAGACAGAAGCUCAACUUCUGAGAGGCGGUGGAAACUGGUUGACUAGAGUACGGUAGGGGUUGAGGGAAUUCCCAGUGUAGCGGUGAAAUGCGUAGAUAUUGGGAAGAAC
rnacentral:rRNA from 1 species